UAAACUCCACUCAGCUUAUGAAUUUGCCAGACUGGCCUUGAACCCAGGAAAGAGAAGAAAUCAUUCAUCUUUUCCCCUCUUUCCCAGGAUGCAGAUUUGGUUAGAAUCAUUAACCCUGAGCUCAGCCAAAUGGCAGACACAUCCUGGGAACACUCCUGAUCCAAGAAGGGAGGUUGCCUGUAAUUGUUCUCAGGAUGGAUUCUCAAGAGAGAGAAGGUGAUAACAGGUGAGAAGGCAGCUGUUUGCAAGCCAGGAAGGGAGCCCUCACCAGAACCAACCACACUGGCACUCUGGUUUCUGUUGUUUAAGUCAUCCAGACGACGGUAAUUUGUUAUAGCAGUCUGAGCUGGGUCAUUCUGAAGAUCAAAAUCAGCAUGAAACCCUAGACAAGGAAGCUUUUUGCAAAGUACAAUGCACUGUACGCUUGGGAAGCA